rnacentral:rRNA from 1 species
UGGGGAAUAUUGCACAAUGGGCGCAAGCCUGAUGCAGCAACGCCGCGUGAACGAUGAAGGUCUUCGGAUCGUAAAGUGCUGUUGCAGGGGAAGAUAAUGACGGUACCCUGUGAGGAAGACCCGGCUAACUACGUGUCAGCAGCCGCGGUAAUACGUAGGGGGUUAGCGUUAUCCGGAUUUACUGGGCGUAAAGGGUGCGUAGGUGGUCUUUCAAGUCGGUGGUUAAAGGCUACGGCUCAACCGUAGUUAGCCUCCGAAACUGGAAUACUUGAGUGCAGGAGAGGAAAUUGUAAUUCCCAGUGUAGCGGUGAAAUGCGUAGAUAUUGGGAGGAACACCAGUAGCGAAGGCGGCUUUCUGGACUGCAACUGACACUGAGGCACGAAAGCGUGGGUAGCAAACAGG